UCUGUACUGUGUUUUCAUUGGUUUCAGCAAAAGAAGGCAUGAUUGUUUUAUGAUACUGAUGGGAAUUCUUGAUUGUUGACUAAUAUCAGCCCAGUGUUUAGCAUAACUUUAAAAGAAAAUUGUUAGUUUUAUUUAAUAUGAGUUUAUGAAAGGAAACGGCAAUCCUGCAUCUAAUAACUUCCCUUACUUUUACCAAUACUCUAAUCACCCACUACAAGCUCUUCACAGGGGUCAUUUUGUGUUCACCUCUUAUUAUAGUUAAAGUCAAAACGUUGCUAAACAACUUCCUGUUUCAUAACCUACGAAGCAGAAUGAGACUGAAUUUAGUACAGCGCAGUGUUUAGUGUUUAAUAAUUCUAAAAUAUAAAAUAUAUUGUUCAGAUUACUUCAGCUAAGGAAUAAAUGCAUCUAAAAGCACAAAUUAAGAAGAAGGCUUACAUGAUGAGUUAACAAUAUCCAUGUUGGCAGAUUAUUAUUUGAUCAUUUUUUUUGUUAAUGGUUUUUAAUUAAAAUCAGGUCAAGAACAGUCCAAUUUGUAAUUAAAAAGGGGAAUGACAGUGAGAAAACAUCAUCUUCGAGGAAGGAAUGUGGUCAGAAAAAAAAAUCCAGAAUCAGAGGACAAUAUUUACAACAGAGUAGAAUAAUAAAGUAACGAUAUACAGUUAACAUUACAGUAUACGGUAUACACUAAGAAUGCACAUAAUUUACACCAUAAAUAUAUAGACUUAUGGUAUUGCACGGAUAUACGUUAAAUAUGAAUGAUUAGGCCUGUCACGAUAAAAAAAUGUUCAGGAUGAUAUAUUUUAGCGAUAAGCGAUAAUAUUGUCAUUUUUAACUGUUUUUGGGCUCCCAAAGGAACUUUAGGACAAUGUACCACAGUAAUAAUAUACUAGUAUCAUAAUACUAUUACACCAUUUUAACGUAAAACUAUUUUUAUUAUUAAGAACAGACAUCCAAUCUAAAAAUAUUUAAUAUUUAUUUUUAUAAUUAAAUAUAAAUAUUUAAUUAAGUACAACCACCCUGGGACUAUGUGCGUCUUGAGAAAGCUUAACACAAUAUUAAACAGACCUUUUUUUUUUUUAUAUAUAUAAUUUUAUUUAUUAUUUUUCCUGUUUUCUCCCCAAUUUACACGGCCAAUUACCCAACCCACUCAUUAGGACUCCCCCUAUCACUAGUAAUGCCCCAACACACCAGGAGGGUGAAGACUAACACAUGCUUCCUCCGAUACAUGUGAAGCCAGCCACCACUUUUUUCGAGCUGCUGCUGAUGCUUGGAGGACAGUGCAGCAACACGGUUUUGAUACAUCAGCUCACAGACGCCCUGUGCUGCGGACAUCACCCUGGGAGUGAUGUGGGAAGAGAGUGCCAUUUAUCCACCUGGAGGGAGCAGGGCCAAUUUUGCUUCCUCUGAGUGCCGGCAGCUUGAUGGCAAAGCUGCAUGUGCGGGGGGUUGAACCUGUGACCUUCCGCUUAUAGUGGCAGCACUUUAGACCGCUGGACCACUUGGCGCCUAAUAUUAAACAGACAAAUCAAUUAAAGUAACAUUUACAUUAAUUAAACUUUUUUUUACUCUGUUUAUAACACAAAGGCACUUGCAGAUUCUCUUUUCGGAUCAUGUAGGUAUAUGCUUUGAAACACAAAUUAGCUCAAAAAGAGCAAGGAACAGUAGCAUGUUUAGCGUGUGGGGCUCAAGGCAGGAUCUCUCUGGGGGAACAAUAUUCAUAUUCAAUAUUCAGUUCAGAAAAUUAGGCUGGAUGUUUGUGCUUUAAAUGAGCUCUCAGGUUAGUGGCUUUUGUUGCCACUGUUUUGAAAUAAAGUAAACAUACCCUCUCAUUCGCCCAUUUGGCUUAAAUACUUUCACACCGUCCUAAGCUCUGCGUGUACUCAGUUCCUAACCGAUAGAUGUCGCUGUCUGACAGAUUCGUCUUCGCCUCAGACACAGAGCCGGUCAGAGAGCAGCACAGCACGACUUUCAUUCAAACUCACACAGAAACCCAAUGGCUAUUAUCGACGUCAGCAAAAAUUAUUGCAAUAAAAAAAAUAUUGUACGAUAAGUCGAUGACUUAAUUAUCGCAACAGGCAGAAUGCUGAAUGUGGGAUAAGUAUGGGACAGUCCGGUAGGUACAGUGAGAAGUAAAGUGCAGGGUGCAGAAUGCUGAAUGUGGGAUAAGUAUGGGACAGUCCGGUAGGUACAGUGAGAAGUAAAGUGCAGGGUGCAGAAUGCUGAAUGUGGGAUAAGUAUGGGACAGUCCGGUUGGUCCGAGUCAGGCAGAGCACAGGCAGAGUUCUACUGGCUGUUCCACAGCCUGGUUGCCUGAGGGAAGAAGCUGUCUCAGAUCCGGCUGAUUUUGUUCUCCUCCUUCCACUCGGCAGCUGUGAGAACAAGCUGUUUACGAUCCUGAAUGAUCAUGAGCAGCUUAAAUCGUCUAAAUAUUUGGUGAAAUUAAAUCAUAGGAAAACAACACUAGGGGCCCUAUUUUUGCGAUCUAUAGCGUACUGGUUAAUUGCGCUUUGCUCAGCUGGAUUUAGGGGCGUGUUCUGUGUCUUUAGUAUUGUGAGGAGGUGAAAAACACGCCUUGCGCAGCUCCAACAGCGCAAAAGGCGUGUUUUAAUUCUCUUAAUUAUUCAUGGAUGUGUUUUGGGCAUAACGUGAAAUAAACCAAUCAGUGUGUCCGUAGUCUAGGGCUGGGCGAUAUGGAAAAAAAUCUUAUCACGAUAUAGUUUUCCAUAUCAGCCGAUAUCGAUAUGUAUCACGAUCUAAAUCAAAUCACUUUCUGUUACACUUAAAGGUUUCUUUUUAUUCAUAAGUGACACAUGUAUUGCCCUUAAAACAAGUACAAGGGGACAAAUAUAUAAACUAAAAAAAAAAUGCAAUAGCACUUGGAUUUUAAUCAAAGGAUUAUUCCCCUCCCUGAAUGCAGGCAGCUACGUAAAGCAAAAUACAAGAGUAUAUCAGUGUUCAUUUUGACAGGUGAUCUUAAUUUAGUAUUAGUCUUUUGAAUAAAAUGUAGAAUAGUUUUAGUUACAUUUUAGUCU